UAGCCCUAUUUGGGGGGAACCAAGCCCUGGCAGCACCCACAGCUGAAGCCUGCAUGCCUCAGGGUUGGGGUGGCCUUGCUGGGGAUGUUUCAGAAGAGCCAGGGACACCCCAUUCACAUCUCUGUCACUUCUCAGCUGUCUCCUACUGGGACAAACACUUCCCCAGCUGCAUUCAUCACCACAUCCUCUCACCCGCCCUGGCCUGCAGGAUUGAUUUAAUUAUCCUUGUUCCUCCCCCAUUGCUACACAGGUAAUGGCAAUCUCCUGUGUGAUGACCCCACAAAGACAGUUUGGGGAAAAAAAAAAAAAAAAAAAAAACAAAAAACACGCAGAAAGCACCAUUGCUUCUCCUUCUCAUGGGCUUGUUUAUAAAAAGAGAGUGCUUGGUGCUGUUUGCCCUGACAACAUUACUCUCCAGAGUUAACAGCUAGUUCGUGGGUACCAGCAGACUGACCUCUCUGUGCUUUUGCUGGAUCCUCUCUGCAAAAUCCAGUGCACGCCGCAGCACUGAAUUUAGAGCUGGGGAAAGCUUUCCAAUGUGGGAAACCAGCAGUUUGGGAAGAAACACGAUCCGUGUUUUCCGUUGGCCGUUGUGCAACAUGGAGGGCGCAGGCUGGGGCAAGCCGUGAGUGCCGCGGGUGCUGGGGGCAGGCACGUGCGCCCGCACCCCCAGCUGGAGCACCCCUGGCACCUGGCUGCGGGCUGGGAGGGUUCCAGCUUUCCUGGAAACCAUUGCACAUCACACGGAACAAACAAACAAACAACGACACAGCACAGACCACUUCCAUUUUCAAAAGUCAUAAAGAAAUAUCCUGUUUACACAGAUAUUUGUGGAAAAACACUGGGAAGAAAACAAAGAGCAGAGCUAAUUAACUUGCAUGUGGGGUGGUAACUUGGCAGCCACAAGGCCAAGAGAGACCUGCUUGCUUUGGGGGACAGAUUACAGCCAAGCUAAAUGUAAAGGACACCCCCAGGUGUCCUUUUCUGACUGUCACCACCCUGCGAUCCCCCAAAUACUUACCCAGCCCAGGUGGAAACCCUAGCAGAGCAUUACCUUAGGGAUAUUAGCUUGGGAUGAGGGAUGCUCGGUGUCUCACACUGCCCGGUACCAUGAGUGCUCCCAGGGACGGGCAGGGUGGGCGCAGGGUGCAUACAUUGAGUCCUCUUCCCAGCAGGGAGGAACACCGUGCCGACACACGUCUUGUCUGCCUUGCCAGCAUGCUCACCAAGGCUGACUGCUUUCCGCUGCUGGUUUAGUCUCACUUCACUUGUUUGGCUCAGGGUCCUCCUGAAAUCAGCUGCUGGCCUUUCCUAGAAUUACACACACACACAAAAAAAAAAAAAAAAAAAAAAAAAAAAAAAAAAAAAACCCAUGUUGAGGAGCAGCAUGGAGAAUCCUUGAAAGCCCCCAGGAAGCAUGUGGAGCUGGUUCCAGCAGCAUCUCCCAUGGCUUUGGCUCCUCUCUGUGCUCUCCCAUCCAAGCAGAGCUUUGCCCUGCUGGAAAUCAGGAUGUUGCAUUGUGAUGUACAAGCCAGAGAUGCAGAAGAGAAAAUAAAUAAAUAAAUAAAUAAAAUAAAGAGCCAAAUCUGGCUUUGGGAGGGGCAUAUAUGCCCUUCAAAAGCUGGGGCAGACCCGCCCAGGCACAGACGAAAAUACUUGUCAGAACUGCUCUUGGCAUGAGGUGCUCAGGGAGGAAAUGUCCAUAGGAAAUUUAGGGAUUGGAUGUCUAGAGGGGAGAAACUUAACACUCCCCUAAUGGCUAGCUCAUUCUUUCUCCUGUCUUCCUCCUAUUUGUUUUUGCAAGUAUUAAUACGCUGGGACUGUUUUCUUUAGUGCACGUGGGGUCCAGAGGGUUUCACUGGGGGUCUGGGAUCUGGGUGACCUCCCCAGAGUGGUCUACGGAGGCUGGCCCACGGUCACCAUGGAUCCCCAGGGCUCUGUGACGAAUGGUGGUGAUGGGUGCUGUGGGGCCAGUGAUGCUGCCCAGCUGGCACCCUCAGCCCUGCCACAGUUGCCAUGCCAUGCAGACCCCUGGGAGCCUUGUGGCCACCUUGACAUGGCCAGAUGCUCUGCAAGCAGCAUCACAU